UACGUAGGGUGCAAGCGUUAAUCGGAAUUACUGGGCGUAAAGCGUGCGCAGGCGGUGAUGUAAGACAGAUGUGAAAUCCCCGGGCUCAACCUGGGAACUGCAUUUGUGACUGCAUUGCUAGAGUAUGGGAGAGGGAAGCGGAAUUUCUGGUGUAGCAGUGAAAUGCGUAGAUAUCAGAAGGAACAUCAGUGGCGAAGGCGGCUUCCUGGACCAAUACUGACGAUCAGGUGCGAAAGCGUGGGGAGCAAACAGG
rnacentral:rRNA from 1 species